ACUUGCUCUGCGCUGAGGUGCUGGGACAGCCAUGGUUUCAGACGUUCACUUUAUCCAAAUGCAUAGAUGCCGUGAUGGUGCUGGGAAAUUCGCAUUUAUUCAUGAAUCGUUCCAACAAACUUGCUGUGAUAGCAAGUCACAUUCAAGAAAGCCGAUUCUUAUAUCCUGGAAAGAAUGGCAGACUUGGAGACUUCUUCGGAGACCCUGGCAACCUUCCUGAAUUUAAUCCCUCUGGGAGUAAAGAUGGAAAAUACGAACUUUUAACCUCAGCAAAUGAAGUUAUUGUUGAAGAGAUUAAAGAUCUAAUGACCAAAAGUAACAACUUUUAAACAUUGUUAUUUUGCAAAUAGUGUUGAUUUUGGAGGUCCUUUAGGCUUUAAGUUCAAAGAUGUGAGGUUCUUUAUGUUGUAUGCCUGCACGUUCUCACUUUUUAAAAAUCAUUUUCAUCAAAGUUGGUUCAUUAUUUGCCUAGCCUCUACAGCAUUUGACGCUGCUGAGCAGCCUUUACUUCUGGAAACAUGACUUUUGGCUUCUACGAAUGCCCUGUGACCUGUUUUUCCUCUUUUCUUGAAACAUUAUUUCAUA
rnacentral:sRNA from 1 species